CCUACGGGUGGCAGCAGUGGGGAAUAUUGCACAAUGGGGGAAACCCUGAUGCAGCGACGCCGCGUGAGCGAUGAAGUUUUUCGGUAUGUAAAGCUCUAUCAGCAGGGAAGAAAAUGACGGUACCUGACUACUACGCCCCGGCUAACUCCGUGCCAGCAGCCGCGGUAAUACGGAGGGGGCAAGCGUUAUCCGGAUUUACUGGGUGUAAAGAGAGCGUAGACGGCGGUGCAAGCCAGAUGUGAAAGCCUGGGGCUCAACCCCGGGACUGCAUUUGGAACUGGGAGGCUAGAGUGUCGGAGAGGCAGGCGGAAUUCCUAGUGUAGGGGUGAAAUGCGUAGAUAUUAGGAGGAGCACCAGUGGCGAAGGCGGCCUGCUGGACGAUGACUGACGUUGAGGCUCGAAAGCGUGGGGAGCAAACAGGAUUAGAUACCCGAGUAGUC
rnacentral:rRNA from 1 species